UCACUCAACUGUGGUUGAGAUCCUAUUUCCCAUCGCUUGGCGCUCCUUCAAUUUCUCGUUCUUCUGCCAGCUGCUAUGGGCUAACCAUUGAGCCCUUAGCUCCUGUAAAUAUGUCCAGAAGGGACAUUUUUUCGUUCUUUUAUUCUUUGGAUUCAAUCUCUUCCUUUUUUCCUUUUCCUUCUUUUUUGACUCCGAACUAUGUACAUCCCCCUU
rnacentral:lncRNA from 1 species